UGAUUAUCGGGGGCAGUGUCUCCCAUAAUCC
rfam:Erinaceus europaeus cont1.734045, whole genome shotgun sequence.